rnacentral:rRNA from 1 species
GACGAACGCUGGCGGCGUGCUUAACACAUGCAAGUCGAACGGAAAGGCCCUGCUUUUGUGGGGUGCUCGAGUGGCGAACGGGUGAGUAACACGUGAGUAACCUGCACUUGACUUUGGGAUAACUUCAGGAAACUGGGGCUAAUACCGGAUAGGAGCUCCUGCUGCAUGGUGGGGGUUGGAAAGAUCCGGCGGUUGGGGAUGGACUCGCGGGUUAUCAGCUUGAUGGUGGGGUAGGGGCUUACCAAGGCUUUGACGGGUAGCCGGCCUGAGAGGGUGACCGGGGACAUGGGUACUGCGAUAGGGACCAGACGCGUACGGGAGGCAGUGGGGGGGAAUAUGGCAGAAUGGGCGGAAGCCUGUGAUGGAAACGCCGCGUUCGUGAAGCCGGCCUUCGAGUUGUAAACCGAUUUCUCAUGUGACGUAGCGUGAUUGACGGUAAUGGGUAAGGAAGCACCGGCUAACUACGUG